rnacentral:rRNA from 1 species
GCUAAACGCGAAGAACCUUACCAGGACUUGACAUGCACCUGCAGAGCCGUGAAAGCGGUUGGCCUUCGAGGGUGGUGCACAGGUGCUGCAUGGCUGUCGUCAGCUCGUGUCGUGAGAUGUUGGGUUAAGUCCCGCAACGAGCGCGACCCUUGUCCUAUGUUGCCAGCGGGUAAUGCCGGGGACUCGUAGGAGACUGCCGGGGUCAACUCGGAGGAAGGUGGGGACGACGUCAAGUCAUCAUGCCCCUUAUAUCUAGGGCUGCAAACAUGCUACAAUGGCCGAUACAAAGGGCUGCUAUACCGCGAGGUGGAGCGAAUCCCAUAAAGUCGGUCUCAGUUCGGAUUGGAGUCUGCAACUCGACUCCAUGAAGCUGGAGUCGCUAGUAAUCCCGGAUCAGCAACGCCGGGGUGAAUACGUUCCCGGGUC